CCGAGUUUACAACUCCCAAACCCCUGUGAACAUACCUUUUGUUGCUUCGGCGGGAUCGCCCCAGCGCCCUCGCGGCCUGGAACCAGGCGCCCGCCGGGGGAAAUCAAACCCUAGUUUUCUUCUGUAUCUUCUGAGUGGCAUAACGCAAAAAUAAAUCA
rnacentral:misc_RNA from 1 species